rnacentral:lncRNA from 1 species
UUUUGGUCCUGUAAUAACUAUCAGUGAAGCGACUUCUUAGAUAAAUGAAAUGCAUUGUUAAUAUUUUAUUGUUAGCAAAGUUCUAGGCAAAAGAAUGGUAAAUGUACGUCCUUCAGUUGUCCCUCAGUUUGUAAAUAUAUCAGUUGGUAAAUAUUAAUCAGGUUCUGGCAAAAGCUAGAGGGUUCUUUCAAGUACAUAUAGCAAAGAAAACUGCUUCAACAUCAACAAUUGCUAAUCCAACAGCACACAUACAUGAAAGCUUAUAGAUUUUCAUUCCUCGGACUCUUUCCUGAAUUUAAGACUAACUGGUGAAAGAAGAAUAAGCAAAACAGUGAAAGUAACGGCUGAGGUGAGACAAGAUGAAAGUCAUACAGCAAGACUGAAG